AAUUUUGAAUCUGGCGGUCUUCGCAGGCCGUCCGAGUUGUAAUCUAGAGAAGCGUCUUCCGCGCCGGCCCGUGUACAAGUCUCCUGGAAGGGAGCGUCAUAGAGGGUGAGAAUCCCGUCUCUGACACGGACACCGGUGCUAUGUGAUGCGCUCUCGACGAGUCGAGUUGUUUGGGAAUGCAGCUCAAAAAGGGUGGUAAACUCCAUCUAAAGCUAAAUACAGGCGAGAGACCGAUAGCGAACAAGUACCGUGAGGGAAAGAUGAAAAGGACUCUGGAAAGAGAGUUAAACAGUACGUGAAAUUGCUGAAAGGGAAACGCUCGAUGUCAGUCGCGUCGGCCAGGGAUCAACCUUGAUAAUCGAGGUGUAUUUCCUGGUCGACGGGUCAGCAUCAGUUUCGGUCGUCCUACAAGGGCCGAGGGGAACGUGACACCCUUUCGGGGGUGUGUUAUAGCCCUUCGGUCGUAUGUGGCGACUGGGACUGAGGAGACUCGGCGUGGGCUUUCAUAGCUCGCGCUAGAGAUGCUGGCAUAAUGGCCUUGAGCGACCCGUCUUGAAACACGGACCAAGGAGUCUAACAUGCCUGCGAGUGUUCGGGUGGAAAACCCGAUCGCGAAACGAAAGUGAAAGUCGAGAACUCCAUCCACGGAGUGCACCGACGCCCGGAUUCGUCGUCUUCGACGACGGAUCUGCGGUAGAGCAUGCAUGUUGGGACCCGAAAGAUGGUGAACUAUGCCUGAAUAGGGCGAAGCCAGAGGAAACUCUGGUGGA
rnacentral:rRNA from 1 species